GCUCGAAAAUGUUAAAGUUCUUAUUUCAUGGUAUAACUUUGGUAUGCUUGGACCUAGAGUCUUCAAACUUGACAUGAAGGUUGGCCAGGAUUAACAGAUGACCACUGGUCAUUUCAAGGUCAUUCAUUUGAAGGUCAAGGUCACUGUGACCUUGAAUGUAAAAAUGUUUAAGUUCUUAUUUCAUGGUAUAACUUUGGUAUGCUUGGACCUAGAGUCUUCAAACUUGACAUGAAGGUUGGCCAGGAUUAACAGAUGACCACUGGUCAUUUCAAGGUCAUUCAUUUGAAGGUGAAGGUCACUGUGACCUUCAAUAUAAAAAUGUUAAAGUUGUUAUAACUUUGGUAUGCUUGGACCUAGAGUCUUGAAACUUGACAUGAAGGUUGGCCAGAACUAGUAAGUAACCACUGGACAUUUCAAGGUCAUUCAUUUGAAGGUCAAGGUCACUGUGACCUUGAAUGUAAAAAUGUUAAAGUUGUUAUAACUUUGGUAUGCUUGGACCUAGAGUCUUGAAACUUGACAUGAAGGUUGGCCAGAACUAGUAAGUAACCACUGGACAUUUCAAGGUCAUUCAUUUGAAGGUCAAGGUCACUGUGACCUUGAAUGUAAAAAUGUUAAAGUUCUUAUUUCAUGUUAUUACUUUGGUAUGCUUGUACCUAGAGUCUUCAAACUUGAAAUAAAGAUUGGCCAGUACUAGAAGAUGACCACUGGUCAUUUCAAUGUCAUUCAUUUGAAGGUCAAGGUCACUGUGACCUUAAAUGUUAAAAUGUUAAAAUUGUUAUAACUUUGGUAUGCUUGGACAUAGAGUCUUCAAACUUGACAUGAAGGUUUGCAAGCACACUUAGAUGACCACUGGUCAUUUCAAGGUCAUUCAUUCUAAGGUCAAGGUCACUGUGACCUUGAAUGUAAAACUGUUAAAGUUCUUAUAACUUUGGUAGGUAAAAAUGUUAAAGUUCUUAUUCCAUGUUAUAACUUUAGGUAUGCUUGUACCUAGAGUCUUCAAACUUGACAUAAAGGUUGGCCAGUACUAGAAGAUCACCACUGCUCAUUUCAAUGUCAUUCAUUUGAAGGUCAAGGUCACUGUGACCUUCAAUGUUAAAAUGUUAAAAUUGUUAUAACUUUGGUAUGCUUGGACCUAGAAUCUCAAACUUGACGUAAAGGUUUGCAAGCACACUUAGAUGACCACUGGUCAUUUCAUAAGGCUGUCUGGAUUUCUGUGUAGGUAUGUGAAAGCAAAACAAUAAAUAGUAUUAUUUCAUCUAAGUUUAUUUUCUUACAUUUGAUAAUGAAAUUGAUGGAAACUUCAAACAAUAUCUUACUAAUUUGCUAAUAAAAAAAUUGAGAUCAAACUUUCCUAAUUGUCAAUUCAAGUUCAUAUUUGUGACCUUAAAUGUUAUUGUUGUUCAUGUAUAUGCAUGCAUUCAAAACAUAACACAAGGUUUGCUCAUGCCUUGAAAAGUACUUACAUUUCAUUUUGACCUUUGAACAAUAUUUCAGUAAUUUAAGUAUUGCAUUGACAAAAACACGAAAGGUACUUUCCUGUCAUUUAAAUCAAAAAUCCGGCUUCAAUGCGGUCAUCUCCGACCGCGGAAACUCUUGUUUAUUAUUUCAAUACCCGUACAUUUGAAAAUAUCUUUACCAUGAAGCAAGGUUAUCAUGCUUUCGCGGUUAUGACACGUCUAUUGUUGAUUGUUAUCACCCGCCCGCGGUAAUGUACGUGCCAAUUAUGUUGUUUAUUGAUCGGUCUCUUUUAUAACGAUAACCCCUUUACGCCAAGUCGCAAAUGAAUGUGUACAGUAUAAGAAAACACGGAUGUCUACAUUUGGAAAAUUUUAAGUGUGAUGACCUUGUGGUACCUAUAUGGUUGCCGGCUAGUGUUCAGUAUUCAAUGUAAAAAUGACCUUGUGGUACCUGUAUGGUUGCUGGUCAAUGUGAAAAUUAAAAAAACAACUAAAUAGAUAAAUUAUCAUAAUUGAUUGCGAUAGCGUUCACAUUUGAUUGUCCUGUGAUAUUAUAGUUGUAUGUUUCAUGCGAUAUGGUAAUAUUGUUACUGUACAUACAUGUAUAAAAAGACAUCGAAUACAACUUAAUACUAGCAUCUUAA